rnacentral:rRNA from 1 species
AUCCGGGUUGCGGACAGUGUCUGGUGGGUAGUUUGACUGGGGCGGUCUCCUCCUAAAGAGUAACGGAGGAGCACGAAGGUUGGCUAAUCCUGGUCGGACAUCAGGAGGUUAGUGCAAUGGCAUAAGCCAGCUUGACUGCGAGCGUGACGGCGCGAGCAGGUGCGAAAGCAGGUCAUAGUGAUCCGGUGGUUCUGAAUGGAAGGGCCAUCGCUCAACGGAUAAAAGGUACUCCGGGGAUAACAGGCUGAUACCGCCCAAGAGUUCAUAUCGACGGCGGUGUUUGGCACCUCGAUGUCGGCUCAUCACAUCCUGGGGCUGAAGUAGGUCCCAAGGGUAUGGCUGUUCGCCAUUUAAAGUGGUACGCGAGCUGGGUUUAGAACGUCGUGAGACAGUUCGGUCCCUAUCUGCCGUGGGCGCUGGAGAACUGAGGGGGGCUGCUCCUAGUACGAGAGGACCGGAGUGGACGCAUCACUGGUGUUCGGGUUGUCAUGCCAAUGGCACUGCCCGGUAGCUAAAUGCGGAAGAGAUAAGUGCUGAAAGCAUCUA